UACGUAGGGCGCAAGCGUUGUCCGGAAUUAUUGGGCGUAAAGAGCUCGUAGGCGGCCUGUCACGUCCGCUGUGAAAUCCCGGGGCUCAACCCCGGGCCUGCAGUGGAUACGAGCUGGCUGGAGGCAGGCAGGGGAGAACGGAAUUCCUGGUGUAGCGGUGAAAUGCGCAGAUAUCAGGAGGAACACCGGUGGCGAAGGCGGUUCUCUGGGCCUGUACUGACGCUGGAGGCGCGAAAGCUAGGGGAGCAAACAGG
rnacentral:rRNA from 1 species